CUUUGGUGGAAACCUAUACUAAUUCGAAAAAUUCAUUAACCUUACAACAAGACAAUAUUUCAAUUCACUUUCAUCUGUCAUAAGGCUGGUUGUUACUGUAUUAAAGUUUUUGUGGUUAAAAUUUUUGAUGGAUUUUUUUUAUAGUGAAAACAGUCAAAGAAAAGUCAGAAUAAAAACUUUGACAACUUGAAUGGAAUGAAAUAGAACCGCAUUCUACUUUUUUUUUAAAACUUGAAUGACAGGAAUUAUAUAAUCAAAGUGCAGUUUUUUCUUUGACAAAAUUCUUGAUCAAAAUCUUUGAUAAUGACAACAGAUGACUUACACCAAGUUCACAGUGUCAAAAAAAUGUUUGACCAAGUUUUUUUUGAAAGAGACAACCAGGCUUGUAUAUUUAAAUUGUUCGAAAAACAUUUAUUUCUAAUCUUUCACUUUAAAUGCUUAAAAAACCUCACUUUAUAUAAUUAGUUUAGUAGCUGUGGUGUUUAAAAAGAAUACAUUAUUUAUAAAACAAAAUAAUUUUUAAAUACAAAACUACAAAAUGUAGUAUAACUAAAACAUAUCAUUUACCUUAAAUUUACCUUAACAGCCAUUUGGUUAAUAACAUAUUUUCUUUAACGCCAUAACAAAUAAAUAGCUGCACAAUGAAUGCAUGAUUUGCCAUCCACAAUAAUUGAAUGUAAUGAUUGCAAUUUUGUUAGGAGUAGUAUACACUAGUAUACAAAAUAAACCGUUGAGACCCAUUGGUAACCUU
rnacentral:lncRNA from 1 species